CAGCAGCCGCGGUAAUACGGAGGGGGCUAGCGUUGUUCGGAAUUACUGGGCGUAAAGCGCACGUAGGCGGCUUGGUAAGUUAGAGGUGAAAGCCUGGAGCUCAACUCCAGAAUUGCCUUUAAGACUGCCGAGCUAGCAGGUGAGAGAGGUAAGUGGAAUUCCGAGCGUAGAGGUGAAAUUCGUAGAUAUUCGGAAGAACACCAGUGGCGAAGGCGGCUUACUGGCUCAUACUGGACGCUGAGGUGCGAAAGCGUGGGGAGCAAACAGGAUUAGAGACCCGGGUAGUCCCUGUCUCUUAUAC
rnacentral:rRNA from 1 species